rnacentral:rRNA from 1 species
CCGGAUUUAUUGGGUUUAAAGGGUGCGUAGGCGGGACUGUAAGUCAGGGGUGAAAUACUGCAGCUUAACUGUAGCAUUGCCUUUGAAACUGUGGUUCUUGAGUACAGUUGAGGUAGGCGGAAUGUGGUGUGUAGCGGUGAAAUGCAUAGAUAUACCACAGAACGCCGAUUGCGAAGGCAGCUUACUAAGCUGUUACUGACGCUGAGGCACGAAAGCGUGGGGAUCAAACAGGAUUAGAUACCCUGGUAGUCCACGCUGUAAACGAUGAUUACUGGUUGUUAGCGAUAUAUAGCUAGUGACUGAGCGAAAGCAUUAAGUAAUCCACCUGGGGAGUACGUCGGCAACGAUGAAACUCAAAGGAAUUGACGGGGGCCCGCACAAGCGGAGGAACAUGUGGUUUAAUUCGAUGAUACGCGAGGAACCUUACC